ensembl:lncRNA
UUUGUGUAAACGUGCAGUCUGUGCUAAAUUGACUCAAAGUCAAGGAUUCAACAUGUUAAGUCUUGAAACCACGUUUGUUGGGAGAACUAUGUGACCCUGACAUUAUGCAAAGCUGCUGCUUACCUUCCUUACCAACUGUCUGGCUUUUGCUCCUGGUCUUUUGGACAUCCUCUUUGAAGACUAGGGCUCCUAAAGUAAACCCUCUCUGAUCUCUGAUGGAGAAUGGACUUAUAAGAGCCAUAAAUCAAAAGUAGCCUGAGAGCACCACAAAGCAAGCCUCUGUCCCCUCUUCUCCUUGAGAACUAUAUUGCUCCUGAUCAGCACUUAAGUUCUUCUGAAAAUGUGAAGUUCAGAUUUUUUAAAAAUUAGUAGUAGGAGUUCUCUUCGUGGCGCAGUGGUUAACGAAUCCGACUGGGAACCAUGAGGUUGCGGGUUCGAUCCCUGACCUUGCUCAGUGGGUUAAGGAUCCAGUGUUGCCGUGAGCUGUGGUGUAGGUUGCAGACGUGGCUCGGAUCCUGCGUUGCUGGGUCUAAUCAGAGCUAUAGUCGUCAGCCUAUGCCAGAGCCACAGCAACACCAGAUCUGAGCCAUGUCUGCGACCCACACCACAACUCAUGGCAACGUGGAAUCCUUGACCCACUGAGCGAGGCCACGGAUGGAGCUCACAACCUCAUAGUUCCUAGUUGGAUUCAUUUCUGCUGCACCACAACAGGAACUCGAGACUUCAAUUUCUAAAGCUUCCCAGCCUCGCUUCUGAUUGCUCCAUCCUUCCUGGGACCUAAGGGUCCCUGUAGAAAGUUGCAUUGCUCUAAAAGCAUCUCAGGACCAAAGCAAUAAGCCACCCAGAGCCCUGCUGUGAGCUUAGAACCAUCUCUCUUGCUCAGACACAGCAGCCAGAUCCGGAUGGAGUCCUAGAUCCAAGCAGCUGUACAGCUUGCCUUCUGGACAUUCUGGAUCCAGGGAGGCUGCAGAGAGCUGCAUCCAGAGUAUAGGCUGGGGAGGGAAAUUCAACAUCCCAGAAAGGCUGAGCAGUAUUCUUCCUGGAUGUCCAGAUUCUGGAGAGAGAAGGCUUAGGGGAAGGGGAGCCAUCCACAGAUUCUCUAGCUUGCCCAGACUUAGCAGCUGCAUUUAGGAGGCCUCCAAACUCACUCUGAUCUGAAAUGGAAAGAAACUCUUUCUCUGGAACAGGCAAUUGUGUGACAUAGUGAGUUGCAACCGUCUUUGAUGGAAGCUGCUUUGGAAGCGAACACUCAUGUUCACAGCCUGAAGAGAGCAUGGUUCUUGCACUCCCCAAAUCACAGCCCUUCCAUCAAGCAGUGAAGAUGCUGCUGUGGCUUCAGAGGACCUGGGUACUACCAUCUAUUAGUCACUCUUGCUGUUACACUGACACCAUUCCUAGGCAUCUUAUUUAACGUGACUCUGUUUCACUCCCUUCUCACCACAAUGGGGCUGGAGACUCCUUUUGUCAAAAACACUAAAUUAGACCUGUUCAAUGUAAUGUCAGAAAUGACUUAUGCAUGCCUACAAAAGGGCAGAUUUGAAACAACAGGGUCUCCCAUGUUCAGGGUUUCUGGAUGGAGUCACCCUCCCACUCAAAGGCUGACACGUCUAUAAGAGUGACUGACAGGUUAUUAAGUUCACAGUGGCUGGGGAGAGGGUCCCCCAAUCACUCCUUCCAUCCAACCCAAAGCCCAGUGGAAAAACAAACCUCAAUUUAAAAAAAAACACGUUCGUGAAUUUGCUUUAAUUUCACCCUCAAGGUUUUUUUCCAGUUACUGUAGAAAUUGGAUCCUUGUCUGGAUAUAUUUUUUAAGUGACCCUUGCUCUCAGGCUCCUGCCCUCCCCGCACUCCCUGCCCCAUCCCUUCUUCACCUCCUCCCCAUGCCUCAGUGACAAGAACCAUUUACCGUAAUUGCAGGUUCCCUGUUGGUAGCCACCAUUACCACAAAAAGUGAAAAUCGAAAACUCUUAGGUAGCAAUUAAUUUAGAAACAACGUUACCACAAUUCUUGUAUGGUGUAUGUAACCAUAAUAGCCACUUCAGUGGAAAAAGCAAAAAUAAAGGGGAGGACAAAUGACAUUAAUUUCCAUUUGCAACAAACCCAUAAUUGGAUCAAUGAUCAGAUCCUUGGGGAGAAAGUCAGCUGUCAUUGGUGGGUGAAGCCUGUGUACACACAGGAUAGAAGGAAGUGCAUGUGAGGUUGGACCUUGAAACCCAGCUGGAAGGGGUGGAGCACAUUUGAAACCCCAGAGGGAGUGGUGGUGACCCCCACGCUUUCUCUGGACUGCAGUGGUUUCUAGACCGUGGCAUCCACUUCUUCAUUCAUUAACAGGUGGCUUCAGGCACGUUUCCUGACCCUUUGGGGUUUGAUUUCUUCAUUUGCUUCCUGGGGAUUCUGAAAGUGCCCACCUCAUUAGGUUGUGAGGAUUAAAUGAGUUGAUCUCUAGAACGUACCU